rnacentral:rRNA from 1 species
UGGGGAAUAUUGCACAAUGGGGGAAACCCUGAUGCAGCGACGCCGCGUGAACGAAGAAGGUAUUCGUAUCGUAAAGUUCUGUCCUAUGGGAAGAUAAUGACAGUACCAUAGAAGAAAGCUCCGGCUAAAUACGUGCCAGCAGCCGCGGUAAUACGUAUGGAGCGAGCGUUGUCCGGAAUUAUUGGGCGUAAAGGGUACGCAGGCGGUUUAAUAAGUCGAAUGUUAAAGAUCGGGGCUCAACCCCGCAAAGCAUUGGAAACUGAUAAACUUGAGUAGUGGAGAGGAAAGUGGAAUUCCUAGUGUAGUGGUGAAAUACGUAGAUAUUAGGAGGAAUACCAGUAGCGAAGGCGACGUUCUGGAAACAAACUGACGCUGAGGUACGAAAGCGUGGGGAGCAAACAGG